GAUGAAGAACGUAGCGAAAUGCGAUAAGUAAUGUGAAUUGCAGAAUUCAGUGAAUCAUCGAAUCUUUGAACGCACCUUGCACCCUUUGGCAUUCCGAAGGGUAUGCUCGUUUGAGUGUCAUUGUACUCUCACUCUCCCGAUACUUUUGGAUCGGGAGUGGUGGACUUGGGUGCUGCUGCUUAACUGUGGCUCGCCUUAAAUGAAGUAGUGCAACUCUCGGUUGGACAUAGUACGGCGUGAUAAGUGUCUUCCCCGGCGCCUCAUUCGAGGGUGGCCGAUCGGGAGCUCUGUGCUUCAAACUGUCUUCGGACAACAUCUGACAACUUGACCUCAAAUCGAGUAGGACUACCCGCUGAACUUAAGCAUAUCAAUAAGCGGAGGA
rnacentral:misc_RNA from 1 species